UACGGGGGGGGUAAGCGUUGUUCGGAAUUACUGGGCGUAAAGGGCUCGUAGGCGGCCAACUAAGUCAGACGUGGAAUCCCUCAGCUUAACUGGGGAACUGCGUCUGAUACUGGAUGGCUUGGAUUCGGGAGAGGAAUGCGGAAUUCCAGGUGUAGCGGUGAAAUGCGUAGAUAUCUGGAGGAACACCGGUGGCGAAGGCGGCAUUCUGGACCGAUAUUGACGCUGAGGAGCGAAAGCCAGGGGAGCAAACGGG
rnacentral:rRNA from 1 species